rnacentral:misc_RNA from 1 species
GACAGUCUACACAAGGUCAAUUCAUGGACUCUCUUUACGAAGAUCUAAGGUGUUAAGUGUCUCUGGCUCUAGUCUUAAGUGGUCAAAAUCUAUUGAGCAAAGGUCAAAGAAGGCUGCUGAGGAAGCUGCACUGGCAGUUGCUGCUGUUGACAAAAGGAGAAGGGGACAAUAUGGUUCUAAUGCUGACUCAAUGAAUGGAAAUAAUGUUUCUCGUAAGUUUUAUAGUGUAAAGCUGCUCCCAGGUAGGCCAGUUCUCUACCCUGGUGUGGCAUAUUCAUUUUUUUCCAAGUUUCG